rnacentral:rRNA from 1 species
UGCUAAGACUGGAUAGGAAAUUAAGAGGCAUCUUUUAAUUUUUAAAAGACCUUUUUCGAAAGGUAUACUUAAAGAGGGGCUUGCGCCACAUUAGUUAGUUGGUAAGGUAAAGGCUUACCAAGACGAUGAUGUGUAGCUGGACUGAGAGGUCGAACAGCCACAUUGGGACUGAGACACGGCCCAAACUCCUACGGGAGGCAGCAGUAAGGAAUUUUUGGCAAUGGAGGAAACUCUGACCGAGCGACGUCGCGUGAACAAUGAAGUACUUCGGUAUGUAAAGUUCUUUUAUUGAAAAAGAAAAAAUAGUGGAAAAACUAUCUUGACAUUAUUCAAUGAAUAAGCCCCGGCUAAUUAUGUGCCAGCAGCCGCGGUAAUACAUAAGGGGCGAGCGUUAUCCGGAAUUAUUGGGCGUAAAGGGUGCGUAGGCGGUUUGAUAAGUCUAUAGUUUAAAUGCAGUGCUUAACGCUGUAGCGCUAUAGAAACUGUCUGACUAGAGUUAGAUAGAGGCAAGCGGAAUUCCAUGUGUAGCGGUAAAAUGCGUAAAUAUAUGGAGGAACACCAGAGGCGUAGGCGGCUUGCUGGGUCUUAACUGACGCUGAGGCACGAAAGCGUGGGGAGCAAACAGGAUUAGAUACCCUGGUAGUCCACGCCGUAAACGAUGAGUACUAAGUGUCGGGUUUCGGCUCGGUACUGAAGUUAACACAUUAAGUACUCCGCCUGAGUAGUACGUACGCAAGUAUGAAACUUAAAGGAAUUGACGGGACCCCGCACAAGCGGUGGAUCAUGUUGUUUAAUUCGAAGAUACACGAAAAACCUUACCAGGUCUUGACAUAAUUUUGCGACAUUAUAGAAAUAUAAUGAAGGUUAUCAGAAUUACAGGUGGUGCAUGGUUGUCGUCAGCUCGUGUCGUGAGAUGUUAGGUUAAGUCCUAAAACGAGCGCAACCCUUGUCGUUAGUUGCGACCACGUAAUGGUGAGCACUUUAGCGAGACUGCCAAUGAAAAAUUGGAGGAAGGUGAGGAUUACGUCAAAUCAUCAUGCCCCUUAUGAUCUGGGCUACAAACGUGAUACAAUGGCUGUUACAAAGAGUAGCUACAACGUGAGUUUUUAGCCAAUCUCAAAAAAACAGUCUCAGUUCGGAUUGAAGUCUGCAACUCGACUUCAUGAAGUUGGAAUCGCUAGUAAUCGCGAAUCAGCAUGUCGCGGUGAAUACGUUCUCGGGGUUUGUACACACCGCCCGUCAAACCAC